AGAAGCAGCUAUAAUGCAGUCGAACGCUUCUUUUUCCACCGGAGCUUGCUCCACCGGAAAAAGAGGAGUGGCGAACGGGUGAGUAACACGUGGGUAACCUGCCCAUCAGAAGGGGAUAACACUUGGAAACAGGUGCUAAUACCGUAUAACAAUCAAAACCGCAUGGUUUUGAUUUGAAAGGCGCUUUCGGGUGUCGCUGAUGGAUGGACCCGCGGUGCAUUAGCUAGUUGGUGAGGUAACGGCUCACCAAGGCCACGAUGCAUAGCCGACCUGAGAGGGUGAUCGGCCACAUUGGGACUGAGACACGGCCCAAACUCCUACGGGAGGCAGCAGUAGGGAAUCUUCGGCAAUGGACGAAAGUCUGACCGAGCAACGCCGCGUGAGUGAAGAAGGUUUUCGGAUCGUAAAACUCUGUUGUUAGAGAAGAACAAGGAUGAGAGUAACUGUUCAUCCCUUGACGGUAUCUAACCAGAAAGCCACGGCUAACUACGUGCCAGCAGCCGCGGUAAUACGUAGGUGGCAAGCGUUGUCCGGAUUUAUUGGGCGUAAAGCGAGCGCAGGCGGUUUCUUAAGUCUGAUGUGAAAGCCCCCGGCUCAACC
rnacentral:rRNA from 1 species